rnacentral:rRNA from 1 species
UUGGAGGGCAAGUCUGGUGCCAGCAGCCGCGGUAAUUCCAGCUCCAAUAGCGUAUAUUAAAGUUGUUGCAGUUAAAAAGCUCGUAGUUGAAUUUCGGGGUCAGUAGAUUGGUCGUGCCACUGGUAUGUACUGGUCUUACUGGCUCCUCCUUCCUGAUGAACCGUAAUGCCAUUAAUUUGGUGUUGCGGGGAGACUGGACUGUUACUUUGAAAAAAUUAGAGUGUUUAAAGCAGGCUAACGCUUGAAUACAUUAGCAUGGAAUAAUGAAAUAGGACGUUCGAUCUUAUUUUGUUGGUUUCUAAGAUUGACGUAAUGAUUAAUAGGGAUAGUUGGGGGCAUUAGUAUUCAAUUGUCAGAGGUGAAAUUCUUGGAUUUAUUGAAGACUAACUACUGCGAAAGCAUUUGCCAAGGAUGUUUUCAUUAAUCAAGAACGAGAGUUAGGGGAUCGAAGACGAUCAGAUACCGUCGUAGUCUUAACCAUAAACUAUGCCGACUAGGGAUCGGAUGAUGUUAAUUUUUUAAUGACUCAUUCGGCGCCUUACGGGAAA